AAGUUUCAACAACGGAUCUCUUGGCUCUCGCAUCGAUGAAGAACGCAGCGAAAUGCGAUAAGUAAUGUGAAUUGCAGAAUUCAGUGAAUCAUCGAAUCUUUGAACGCACCUUGCGCUCCUUGGUAUUCCUUGGAGCAUGCCUGUUUGAGUAUCAUGAAAUCU
rnacentral:rRNA from 1 species